UUCCAGACUCCUACGGGAGGCAGCAGUGAGGAAUAUUGGUCAAUGGGCGCGAGCCUGAACCAGCCAAGUCGCGUGAGGGAAGACGGCCCUACGGGUUGUAAACCUCUUUUGCCGGGGAGCAACGGGCGCCACGUGUGGCGCCACUGAGAGUACCCGGAGAAAAAGCAUCGGCUAACUCCGUGCCAGCAGCCGCGGUAAUACGGAGGAUGCGAGCGUUAUCCGGAUUUAUUGGGUUUAAAGGGUGCGUAGGCGGAAUGCCAAGUCAGCGGUAAAACCGCGGGGCUCAACCUCGCUCCGCCGUUGAAACUGGCAGUCUCGAGUUGGAGAGAAGUAUGCGGAAUGCGCGGUGUAGCGGUGAAAUGCAUAGAUAUCGCGCAGAACUCCGAUUGCGAAGGCAGCAUGCCGGCUCCACACUGACGCUGAGGCACGAAAGCGUGGGUAUCGAACAGGAUUAGAUACCCCCGUA
rnacentral:rRNA from 1 species